rnacentral:rRNA from 1 species
CUAAGCAUUCAAUUAGCGGAGGAAAAGAAACCCACAGGCAUUGCCUCAGUACGGCGAGUGAAGCGGCAACAGCUCAAAUUUGAAAUCUGGCUCCUUCGGGGUCCGAAUUGUAAUUUGUAGAGAGUGCUUCGGGCGAGACCUCGGUCUAAGUCCAUUGGAACAUGGUGUCAUAGAGGGUGAGAAUCCCGUAUGCGACCGUGGCUCGAGCCCAUGUGAAGCCUCUUCGACGAGUCGAGUUGUUUGGGAAUGCAGCUCAAAAUGGGUGGUAAAUUUCAUCUAAAGCUAAAUACUGGCUGGAGACCGAUAGCGCACAAGUAGAGUGAUCGAAAGAUGAAAAGCACUUUGGAAAGAGAGUCAAACAGUACGUGAAAUUGUUGAAAGGGAAGCGCUUGCAACCAGACCUGCCCGUAGGCGAUCAGCCGCUGUUCUCAGCGGUGUACUCGCUCUGCGAUCAGGCCAGCAUCGGUUUCGGCGGUCGGAUAAAGACCUUGGGAAUGUAGCUUCCCUUCGGGGAAGUCUUAUAGCCCUCGGUGUAAUGCGGCCAGCCGGGAUCGAGGACCGCGCUUCGGCUAGGAUGCUGGCGUAAUGGUUGUAAGCGACCCGUCUUGAAACACGGACCAAGGAGUCUAACAUCUAUGCGAGUGUUUGGGUGUCAAACCCAUACGCGGAAUGAAAGUGAACGGAGGUGAGAACCCUUAAGGGCGCAUCAUCGACCGAUCCAGAUGUCUUCGGAUGGAUUUGAGUAUGAGCAUAGCUGUUGGGACCCGAAAGAUGGUGAACUAUGCCUGAAUAGGGUGAAGCCAGAGGAAACUCUGGUGGAGGCUCGGCAGCGGUUCUGACGUGCAAAUCGAUCGUCAAAUUUUGGGUAUAGGGGG